AGCAGCGUGGCUCAGUGGAAAGAGCAUGGGCUUGGAAAUCCAGAGGUCAUGGGUUUGAAUCCUGGCUCUGCAA
rfam:Ornithorhynchus anatinus chromosome 2, whole genome shotgun sequence.